rnacentral:rRNA from 1 species
GACGAACGCUGGCGGCGUGCCUAAUACAUGCAAGUAGAACGCUGAAGGAGGAGCUUGCUUCUCUGGAUGAGUUGCGAACGGGUGAGUAACGCGUAGGUAACCUGCCUGGUAGCGGGGGAUAACUAUUGGAAACGAUAGCUAAUACCGCAUAAUAUUGACUAUUGCAUGAUAGUCAGUUGAAAGGUGCAACUGCACCACUACCAGAUGGACCUGCGUUGUAUUAGCUAGUUGGUGGGGUAACGGCUCACCAAGGCGACGAUACAUAGCCGACCUGAGAGGGUGAUCGGCCACACUGGGACUGAGACACGGCCCAGACUCCUACGGGAGGCAGCAGUAGGGAAUCUUCGGCAAUGGACGGAAGUCUGACCGAGCAACGCCGCGUGAGUGAAGAAGGUUUUCGGAUCGUAAAGCUCUGUUGUAAGAGAAGAACGAGUGUGAGAGUGGAAAGCUCACACUGUGACGGUAUCUUACCAGAAAGGGACGGCUAACUUCGUG